UGCCAGCCGCCGCGGUAAUACGUAUGUGGCAAGCGUUGUUCGGAAUUACUGGGCGUAAAGCGCGCGUAGGUGGCCAAGUCAGUCAGAUGUGAAAGCCCUGGGCUCAACCUGGGAACUGCAUCUGAUACUGCUUGGCUAGAGUAUGGUAGAGGGGUGUGGAAUUUCCUGUGUAGCGGUGAAAUGCGUAGAUAUAGGAAGGAACACCAGUGGCGAAGGCGACACCCUGGACCAAUACUGACACUGAGGUGCGAAAGCGUGGGGAGCAAACAGGAUUAGAUA
rnacentral:rRNA from 1 species